AUUCCUUCUCAGCCUUUUGGCUAAGAUCAAUUGUAGUAUCUUUCUUAUCAGCUUAAUUACUUUUCAUAUUUUAGUGACAGAAAUAUUUGGAAAACCAAA
ensembl:snRNA U2 U2 spliceosomal RNA